GACGAACGCUGGCGGCGUGCCUAAUACAUGCAAGUAGAACGCUGAAGGAGGAGCUUGCUUCUCUGGAUGAGUUGCGAACGGGUGAGUAACGCGUAGGUAACCUGCCUGGUAGCGGGGGAUAACUAUUGGAAACGAUAGCUAAUACCGCAUAAUAGUAGAUGUUGCAUGACAUUUGCUUAAAAGGUGCAAUUGCAUCACUACCAGAUGGACCUGCGUUGUAUUAGCUAGUUGGUGGGGUAACGGCUCACCAAGGCGACGAUACAUAGCCGACCUGAGAGGGUGAUCGGCCACACUGGGACUGAGACACGGCCCAGACUCCUACGGGAGGCAGCAGUAGGGAAUCUUCGGCAAUGGACGGAAGUCUGACCGAGCAACGCCGCGUGAGUGAAGAAGGUUUUCGGAUCGUAAAGCUCUGUUGUAAGAGAAGAACGAGUGUGAGAGUGGAAAGUUCACACUGUGACGGUAUCUUACCAGAAAGGGACGGCUACUACGUG
rnacentral:rRNA from 1 species